GAUCUGGGGCAGGUUAUGAUGGCUUGUGACCCUGGGGCGCGGUGGAGGUGACCCUGGAACUCUCCUGAGGCCAGGCCAAGGACACUGGCUCUGUGGGCCUAGCCACCAGGGGGACAGCAGGAGCCAUGCUCAAGGUGGCCCCUGUGGAGUGAUCACAGGCAGAGGGUCCAUGUGGAGAGGGAGACAGACACCCACCUGCUCCAGCCUCGGCCACCAUCUGACCCAGACCUCAAGAGGCUGAGUCACACUACUCGACAGAGCCCUUCCGAACCCCUGAUGUCCAGAAACCAUGGACAGCGACAAGACAACGGUGGUUUAAGCCACUGACUUCAUAAGCAGCAGUAAGAGAAGCAGAUCCCCCACCUGCUGCCCCCUCCAGGAAGCCCUCCCUCCUGAGGAGCGCUGUAGUUCCCGUCUCCAUGUCUGUUUUUCUUCACAACAUCACAUGGGUUGUAUGUGAGGGCCGCUCCUUGUCUGUCACUGAGACAUGGGUUCUGGGGAGGGGAGGGGGCAGCAUCAACUUAUUCCUGCUGCCUCCCAGCAGUGAGUAGCUCCUGGGACAUAAUAAGUGCUCAGCAAAUACCACGACUUAGUAAUUUCACUAAGUUAUCACACCUGCCCUGAAAAUGGGGCUCGUUACCCCUACUUUUCACACAAAGGAACUGAGAGACAGAGAUGUUCUGUUCUUGCCUAAGGCCACACAGCAGAGCAGGGUCCUAGCCUGAUUUCAUGGAUUCCACAUCAGUGUCCUCCUCCUGAGGGUGGAGGGACGGGGGACUGGCCUGGGACCCUGGAGCGGAGCCGAAGCAACCACAUCUGUCCUUUUGUUGAACCUUGUAUUUAACCUGGGGUUUGCCCUUGGGUGAAAAGAGGCCGGGGGGGUGGGGCUUUCCCGAGGUCGUCCAGCCAGGCGUCCAGCCCCCCGUGUUGGAGCUGGACCUAGAGCCCAGGCCCCACAUUCCCGAGCCUCAUCUCCUCCAGGGACAUCCCGAGCCACCGGGGAAAACUGCGUGGACAAAGCCCAAGCCAGGAGGGACAGGACUGUCCCCGAGGGAAAAGGGCCUCCAUUUCUCUGUCCAAAGUGGAGGGGACAAGAGGAGCAGCCGCCGUGUUCCCGGGCUGGCAGAUGGCGGUCCUCACCAGGAGCCCGCGGUCCUCGUCCCCGCCUCUCACAGGGGACUCUGAGGCUCAACGGGGCCCAAGGACCCCACAGGCGUGUCCUGGCCGGGUCAGGACCGAACCAGAACCCUGGCACCCAGGCCUGAGGCCCAGCAGACCUGGAGGCGGCCUUGGGGGAGAGGGCUUCUCGGGACAGGCUGGGGACAGGCUGGGGAGCCCUCCGGGUGGCGAGGACGGUCACAGCAGGAGUCUGGACCUGGCACGGGCCAGGACCUGAGGACAGGGAGGGCCUCGGCGUCUGCGGGGGGGCAGUGCGUCCCGUGUCCCUGUCCCGCUGCCUCUGCGGCCCGGUCACCUUCCUUGCGCCCCCAGCACAGUGGGGACUGGAGAGUGAUGGCCUGUUUACGGCGCCCAUAAUGUCGCAGCAAAACAAGGCCCCGGCAGAGCGGCUCCGCGCCUCUAAUGGGACAUUAUUUAUGUGAUCUUCCUCCCUGCGCUGGAGCCAUUACCGCCCGGGAUGGCGCUCCGUCACCCUCCACUCCCCCAGUGAUGUGCCAAUGUCACACUGAAGGAUGUGCGCUGCGGGCGUCACGGGCACUGCUGCCACUUCUGGACCUGGCGGAGGAGGGAGGGGACAUGAGUGGGACAGUGACGGCCUCCGAUCACAGGUCCCUGGCCCCCUCCUGCGGAGAGUGUGGCUUGCCCAGCACCAGCCGUCCGCCCGGGCGGGCCUUGGGGGUCCUCCCGCAGCCCCCAACCCCUGCAGUCAAGGCCCACAGCUCCAGGGAGCCGCAGAGGCCUCUGCACUUUGGCCCUUGCCACCUCCCGCCAGCCUCAGCUCCAGCCUCCACCCGCCCAGCCUCAAGCUGCAGCCUCCACCCGCCCAGCCUCAGGUCCAGCCUCUCGUGCCUGAGUUCCAGAAUCUGACGGGCCCAGUGCCCCAGACCCAGGUCUGCACCUUCCCGGAUUGGCUCAUGCCCACCUGUCCCGUCCUGGUCUUGGAGAGCCCCCUCCGCCUUGGCCUCCUCCUCUCACCCAGUGG
rnacentral:lncRNA from 1 species